UACGUAGGGGGCAAGCGUUAUCCGGAUUUACUGGGUGUAAAGGGAGCGCAGACGGCCAAGCAAGUCUGAAGUGAAAUGCAUGGGCUCAACCCAUGAAUUGCUUUGGAAACUGUUUGGCUUGAGUGUCGGAGGGGUAAGCGGAAUUCCUAGUGUAGCGGUGAAAUGCGUAGAUAUUAGGAGGAACACCGGAGGCGAAGGCGGCUUACUGGACGACAACUGACGUUGAGGCUCGAAGGCGUGGGGAGCAAACAGG
rnacentral:rRNA from 1 species